UCCUGGAGAAGAAGCACGCACACGGACGUCCUGAUACCUGCUCUGCCCCGGAGCUUGUGGAGGUGAACUCACUGGGGCUGGCUGCAAGAGGAAAUUAGUUUCCAAAGGAACGAGGAG